rnacentral:rRNA from 1 species
ACACUGACGACAUGGUUCUACAAUCAACUUUCGAUGGUAGGAUAGAGGCCUACCAUGGUGGUACGGGUAACGGGGUGUUAGGGCACGACACCGGAGAGGGAGCCUGAGAAACGGCUACCACAUCCAAGGAUGGCAGCAGGCGCGCAAAUUACCCAAUCCCGACACGGGGAGGUAGUGACAAUAAAUAACAAUACGGGGUUCUUUCGGAUCUCGUAAUUGGAAUGAGUACGAUUUAAAUCUCUUAACGAGGAACAAUUGGAGGGCAAGUCUGGUGCCAGCAGCCGCGGUAAUUCCAGCUCCAAUAGCGUAUAUUAAAGUUGUUGCAGUUAAAAAGCUCGUAGUUGAAUUUCGGGGUUAGUAGGUUGGUCAUGCCUCUGGUAUGUACUGGUCUCACUGAUUCCUCCUUCUUUAUGAACCGUAAUGCCAUUAAUUUGGUGUUGCGGGGAAUUUGGACUGUUACUUUGAAAAAAUUAGAGUGUUUAAAGCAAGCUAACGCUUGAAUACAUUAGCAUGGAAUAAUGAAAUAGGACGUUCGAUCUUAUUUUGUUGGUUUCUAGGAUUGACGUAAUGAUUAAUAGGGAUAGUUGGGGGCAUUAGUAUUCAAUUGUCAGAGGUGAAAUUCUUGAAUUUAUUGAAGACUAACUACUGCGAAAGCAUUUGCCAAGGAUGUCUUCAUUAAUCAAGAACGAAAGUUGGGGGCUCGAAGACGAUCAGAUACCGUCCUAGUCUCAACCAUAAACGAUGCCGACCAGGGAUCGGAUGAUGUUAAUUUUUAAUGACUCAUUCGGCGCCUUACGGGAAACCAAAGUGUUUGGGUUCAGACCAAG